rnacentral:tRNA from 1 species
AAGGGAGACCUAAUUCAGGUAGGAGACGAAAAAAAAGUAGUCGCUACCAAGAAUCAAUCCCAAAAGGUCGGAGCGAGGCGAAAUUGGCUUUCAAACUAGGUUCUGGGUUCACACAAGACCUGAAUCAGGAACAAGGGCUAUUAGCUCAGGUGGUUAGAGCGCACCCCUGAUAAGGGUGAGGCCCCUGGUUCGAGUCCAGGAUGGCCCACCUGUACAGGUGGCAAAAAGAAAGAAAAGAAGCGAGGAAUCAGCACCUUAUCUUACUGACAUAGUAAGAGAGAAUGCUGGCUCUGAGUAAAGAGUCCAGAGGAACCUUGAAAACUGCAUAGAGCUAGGUGAAAAAGCCAAAAAAGAAGACCGCAA